rnacentral:rRNA from 1 species
UACGGAGGAUGCAAGCGUUAUCCGGAAUGAUUGGGCGUAAAGCGUCCGCAGGUGGCUUUGUAAGUCUGCUGUUAAAGAGUGAGGCUCAACCUCAUAAGAGCAGUGGAAACUACAAGGCUAGAGUACGUUCGGGGCAGAGGGAAUUCCUGGUGUAGCGGUGAGAUGCGUAGAGAUCAGGAAGAACACCGGUGGCGAAAGCGCUCUGCUAGGCCGUAACUGACACUGAGGGACGAAAGCUAGGGGAGCGAAUGGG